GUGUUGUUUGUUUGCCAAAUGUCAAAAUCAGUCAGUUUUCGUUUUCGCGCACACACGACAACUGCUCCGUUUCUUGCAGCAUCGGUUCCGAACGUUCCGAAACACCUCCGCAGGUGUUGAACCUGUUGCAGCAGCUGGACUUUAUCUCGGGUGGACGUCCAACUCCAACUCAAGGAAGGGCAGCAGCAGCACUAAGCAAUACUCCGGCGACAGGAAAAACGGCCCCGAUCGGCCACCACCUGCAGCGUCACCGGAAAUGCCAGAAAUUCACUCACGGAAGGCAACCAAGGACGAGGAGGAAAGCGUCAUUUUCAUAAAACAUACAGUUGAUGCCGACCGGGUGUGUGAUUACGCGGCAGUCAAGUCUCCGCUGCAGAUCACUGCCUGUUCCGGACGGUCUUCUGUUGUGGUAGGAUGAUGUGAUGAAUUCGACUACGAGGUUGCGCGUGCUGGAUAGUUUUCAGAAGAUUCCGUGGCGAAUUGUGCUACAUUAUAAGGGCCGAAAGCAAGACGUACCGGUGCGUGGAAUCGACACCUACAGCUAGACCGGAAGUGUCAGCGACUCACACAAACAGGGUGGUCCUCAAGGAUGGCAAGAUGGAUGAGGAGCAGUGCCUGCCCAAGAAAGGACGUUGUUUACGUAGGUUACGUUCUGUUGGUACCGUUCGAGAUUGUGCUCCCGCCGUUGGAACCGGAGGUAGCUGGGACAAGUUGUCGACUGUCGGCUGCUGCGGAAAGACUACCUAAAAGUGAACAAGGUGACAACGACGUCGCGCGUGCCGGAUUGUUUCCAGCAGAUUCCGCGUCGAACAGUGUUGAACACCGGAAGACAGGAGCAGGCCAGCGUGUUUCCUAUGGGUUCACCGUCGAACAUGUCGCAGAUUUGCGACGGAGAGUGCUCGGACAGACUUCUGCUGUUGCACGAUGGCGAUCUACCCGAUGUUCAAGAACUGGCUGGACACGAAUUGUGAUCCGCGCAGGCUGGAUCUGCCCUCGAUUAAGUACAUUUAUAUGGCAUCGCGGCAAUCGGUGUCUCGGAACCCUCGGAACACAUCGAUGGAAACCGGAACACCAUUCAUGCCAAAGUGGUUUCGGAGAAACUUGGCUGGAAAAUCGUCUGGAAGUUAUGAAACAACAGGAGUAAACGACAAAGACAGCAUGAAUGACCAAAACGAGCAUCGGAAAUUCUACAACAAAACAUUCAUCUUGGACUAGAACGAACUUUUUUGCGAAGAUCUGCAAAUCAUACAACUCCUGUGCGAAAGUCCCGUUCUUGAAAACGAAAGACGCCCAAGGACAAACACCGCUAAUGUUGGCCGUCACGUGUCGAUCCUACAAGGCCGUCCUCGAGUUCAAAACGAUCAUCAAAAUCACUAACGGUAAUGCGGCUACUCGUGACUCAAUCAUCUUCUUGGCCGGAAGUGCCCCUGAUCAAUCACGACAAGGAAUUCUUCGCUGCAACGACACCUGUUCAUUCACCUGGAUCGUGUGGCCUGAUCAGCUCGCUGUGUUGCUGUAUCGCGUACUGCGUACUGUGACUGCUGGGAAAAGUUCGCCGAUAACCAGACCAAACUGUUCGAGUUUCUAUAAAAAUGGCCAUCGACAUGGUUUUCUUGACCAAGUUAGUUUCGCGCGAAAGUCAAAUUGAGGAUCAAGUCCAGCAACACGUAUAGAACUUAACGACUAUGUAACAAAAUAUUAGUAUUAUUCUGGUUAAAUAAUGCAAUAAAAUACUUUUUCGCAGAA
rnacentral:misc_RNA from 1 species